rnacentral:rRNA from 1 species
AAUGGGCGCAAGCCUGAUCCAGCCAUGCCGCGUGAGUGAUGAAGGCCUUAGGGUUGUAAAGCUCUUUCACCCGGGACGAUAAUGACGGUACCGGGAGAAGAAGCCCCGGCUAACUUCGUGCCAGCAGCCGCGGUAAUACGAAGGGGGCUAGCGUUGUUCGGAAUCACUGGGCGUAAAGCGCACGUAGGCGGACCGUUAAGUCGGAGGUGAAAGCCUGGGGCUCAACCCCAGAACUGCCUUCGAUACUGGCGGUCUCGAGUCCGGAAGAGGUGAGUGGAACUGCCAGUGUAGAGGUGAAAUUCGUAGAUAUUGGCAAGAACACCAGUGGCGAAGGCGGCUCACUGGUCCGGUACUGACGCUGAGGUGCGAAAGCGUGGGGAGCAAA